UAUAAUUUUUCAUAAAAACAACACGAAAAUAAUAAAAAAAAAAUAAUAUAAAAAUAGCAUUAAAAUAACAACAACAAAAAAAUAACAUACAGAUAACAAAAAUUUAACAACAAAUUAACAUGAGUGUAACAUAAAAAGAUUGUAUUUUCUGUAAAUAAAAUAAAAAAAAUUUGUAAAAAUAUUUAAUAGAGGUAUUGAAUAAUAAUAUGGACUGUAGCUAUCUAAAUGAGACAUUACUAUGCCUUAUCCCCAAAGUGAAGGACUAGACAAUGGUGGGAGACUACAGGCUCUUAAGUUUAUGCAAUGUAGUCUAUAAGGUGAUCUCUAAAUGUCUUGCUAAUAGGAUGAAAAUGAGCAUGGAUAAAGUGAUAUCUGAAAACCAGAGUGCAUUCAUAAAGGGGAGGCAGAUUCAAGAUAAUGCCAUUCUUAGUUUUGAAAGUCUCCAUUGUUUGAAGAAGGGUCGGUUUGGGAAUGGAAGAAAGAUGGCCCUUAAAUUGGAUAUGUCAAAAGCAUAUGACCGUGUUGAAUGGGAUUUUCUUGAAGGGAUGAUGAAGUGUCUGGGAUAUGAUGAGCGAUGGAUUGGUAAGAUAAUGGGCUGUGUGAAGACGAUUACUUUCUUAGUUUUGCUAAAUGGAGAGGCUCGGGGUCACAUCAUACCGGAGAGAGGGUUGAGGCAAGGGGAUCCUCUAUCUCCGUUCUUGUUUCUUAUUUGCUCAGAGGGGUUGUCCUGCUUACUUAAUGAAGCAAGCCGAGCCAACAAAAUUCUUGGGCUCCGUUUUGGACAUCUUGAGAGAAGGUUGACACACCUUCUGUUUGCUGAUGAUAGUCUAAUCUUUUUGGAUGCAGCGGUUGAGGAAGGGAAAGCUCUUGCGGAGGUGCUUCGGAUUUAUUCCUCUUUGUCAGGCCAGUGCAUUAACUUUAACAAAUCUAACUUAUGUGUUGGUCGGAAGAUUAAAAGCACGGAAGGUCAGAGACUUGCUGCUUCUCUGGGGGUUACUUUUAUAGAAAACCACACAAAGUAUCUCAGACUCCCCGCCUUUGUUGGUAGAAACAAGAAGGAAGCUUUCGGUUUGAUUUAUGACAAGGUCUGGGAAAAACUCCAAGGGUAGAAACGAGAGGUGUUGAUCAAAUCAGUUAUCCAAGCUAUCACGGUUUAUAUCAUGAGCUGUUUUAGAAUAACAAACGGUCUGAUUCGUGAGAUUCAAGCUCUUAUAGCUCGGUUCUGGUGGGGUUCUACAACAGCUAAACAUCAAAUCCAUUGGGGUGAUUGGAAGAAGUUAUCCAGAGAUAAAUGGUCUGGGGGUAUGGGGUUCAGAAAUUUGGAAGACUUUAAUCAAGCCCUGCUUGCGAAGCAAGGUUCAAAACUUGUUACAAAUCCGGAUAGCUUGUUUGCUCAGUGUUAAAGGCUCUAUAUUUUUUGAACUCAGAAUUCUUAGAGGCUGACCUUGGUACUUGGUGUUCUAAUGUUUAGAGAGGCAUUCUAUGGGACGUGAGCUUGUUUUUAAGGGGAUGCGGUGGCGAGUGACUGAUGGUAGUAAAGUUAGAAUAAAUGAGGAUCGCUGGAUUCCUAGAGGAGCCACAUUCCUUCUCAGAACCCCCGCUUUGGUUCCUCCUAAUACAUAUGUGGAUUCUCUCAUUAAUGAAACUAGGGAAUGGAAGUUAGAGACUAUUGAGGAGAAGAUGCAUAUAGACGACAUUCCUUGGAUUUUGGGGAUUCAAAUUCGGAGAGGAUGUGGCGAAGAUGAACUCAUUUGGCAUUAUAUUGUAAAUGGGGAUUACACGGUUGCUAGUGGGUAUAUCUUGUCACAAGUUGAGAAACAGGGAGCGGAGACUUCUAACAAAACAAUUUUGAGGAAAUGGUUGAAGGAGGUAUGGCACUUGAACUUAACUCCGAAAAUGAAGAAUUUCGUUUGGAGAGUUUGUCAUAACUGGGUUCCUACAAAGAGUGAAUUGGUGAAGAGAGGCAUCAAGAUAGAUAGGACUUGUUCGGGAUGCUGGAGCCAUGACGAGACCAUUGGUCACACUUUGUGGAACUGCCCUCGACUGAAGUUUGUUUGGAGAGAUGCGGGGUUCUGACACCUCUUUCCUAAAGGCCUUGGCUUGAUGUCGGACCUGAUGGACUUUCUCAUGUUUAUGGGAAAAAACUGCUCUAAACAGAAAUUUGAAACAUUUUUGGGUUUGAGUUGGCUGGUUUGGAGCCAAAGGAAUCAACAAAUUUUCCAAAAUAAGAGUACUCCUUUGGAAAGCUGGACUCCUUGGGCUCUUGAUUACAUUGACAACGCGCUGCAGAAGGCCACUGACAGCAGAGAAGUGAAGAAAGCGAAGGGGAUUAGUAGUUGGUUGGCUCCUCCGACCGGCGCCUAUAUGCUGAAUUGUGAUGCAGCGAUAUCUAAAGAUCAACAAGGAAGUGGAGUGGCUGCUGUUAUCAAGGAUAGUUUGGGCCGUUUGAUAGCUGCAGAAGCUCUCUUUCAGACCGACUGUGUUUCGGUUUUAUUGGCUGAGUGUUUGCCUAUCAGGGUGGGAUUGAACCUGGUGCAGAGAUUGAAGGUUAGACCUUUUUUUGUCAACUCCAAUAGCCUUACCGCUAUUAAUCAACUGCUGUCAAAGAAAGCUCCUCGGGCAGAUUGGGGGGUGCCUUUGUUGAAAUUUUUUUCUACUAAUCUUUUAGAUGGGUGUGUGUGGGUAUCAAAUUUGUUAAUAGAGAUUGUAAUAAUAUUGCUCACUCUUUAGUUAAGUGGGCUAUUACUCACAUAUGUAAUUUUUUUUGGUCAGAGGUUUUACCCUCUUGUGCUGCUGCCUUUAUAAAUGCAGAGAAGCCUGACCAGUUGUAGUUCUUUUAUUUUUGCUGAAUAAAGUGUUUUCCUUUUAAAAAAAAAAAAAUAUACAGAUAACAAAAUAUCAACAACAAAUUAAUAAGAUUACAACAUAAAAAGACUAUAUUUUCUGUAAAUAAAAUCAAAAAAAUUGUAAAAAUGUUUAAAAUUCCGUGAACCCGUAUUUUUGUAAUUUUUAUGUUUUUGUGAAAUAACCACUUUAAUUAGGAAAUUUUACAUGGUAUACUAAUUUUUGUCAUUUUUUUACAAAAAUACUGUUAAGCAGUAUUUUUUACUUUUUUACUGUAUUUUUUUAUAUGUUUCAUACUGCAGUAUACUGUGUUAAGUUUUCACUGAUGUUCUACUGGUGUUUUUUAGUUGUUCUACUGUUGUUUUAAGUUGUUCUGUUUUGUGUUUUACUAGUGUUUUAUAAAAACACAGUAUAUUUGACAACUUUUCCGUAUGACAAUAUUUUUGUAAAAAUUAACCCAAAUUUCAGUAUUUCUGUAAAUUUCCCCUUUAAUUAUCCCUUUAUAAAACUCCCAAUUAAAGUUUGAAAAAUACAGAGCCCAAGGCCUGUAAAGUUAAAUUUGGGCCAACUCUUGGAUGAAGCCCACUAAGUAAGAGGCCCAUUUUUGUCACACGAUGCUUCUUCCUUAAACCCUUCAAACAAAAACCUCUUCGCCAUCUUCAUCAAUCAUUGAUCUGUUACUGUUAAUAAACCAAGUUUUGGUUUUGAAGAUUUGUGAUCAGAGAUGGCUUUUCGAAGCUCACAGACGGUUCGUACUUUGUAUCGGUCGGCAUUGAUUCGGGAAUCCUCAUAUAUUGGUUUUGCUUGAAUUGUUAGGCUUGGAAGCUCAACAAGCUAUUCAAGUAUUCUUUCAAAUGUAAUUGUUUACUGCAGAAAUCGUCGCGGAAAUUAAUUGCAGAAAUUUGUCUUCAUCCUCAUUCAAGGGCCAGAAUCCACUUCCAUGGACAUAUCGAAGCGCAAU